UUAUCCGGAUUUAUUGGGCGUAAAGGGCUCGUAGGCGGCUCGUCGCGUCCGGUGUGAAAGUCCAUCGCUUAACGGUGGAUCUGCGCCGGGUACGGGCGGGCUGGAGUGCGGUAGGGGAGACUGGAAUUCCCGGUGUAACGGUGGAAUGUGUAGAUAUCGGGAAGAACACCGAUGGCGAAGGCAGGUCUCUGGGCCGUCACUGACGCUGAGGAGCGAAAGCGUGGGGAGCGAACAGGAUUAGAUACCCUGGUAGUCCACGCCGUAAACGGUGGACGCUGG
rnacentral:rRNA from 1 species